rnacentral:rRNA from 1 species
UACGUAGGGGGCAAGCGUUGGCCGGAUUUAUUGGGCGUAAAGAGCGUGUAGGCGGCUUUACAGGUCCGUUGUGAAAACUCGAGGCUCAACCUCGAGACGCCGGUGGAAACCGUAAAGCUAGAGUCCGGAAGAGGAGAGUGGAAUUCCUGGUGUAGCGGUGAAAUGCGCAGAUAUCAGGAAGAACACCCGUGGCGAAGGCGGCUCUCUGGGACGGUACUGACGCUGAGACGCGAAAGCGUGGGGAGCGAACAGG